UGCCAGACUCCUACGGGAGGCAGCAGUGGGGAAUAUUGCACAAUGGGGGGAACCCUGAUGCAGCAAUGCCGCGUGAAGGAUGAAGGUUUUCGGAUUGUAAACUUCUUUUGUACGGGGCGAAGAAAGUGACGGUACCGUAAGAAUAAGCCACGGCUAACUACGUGCCAGCAGCCGCGGUAAUACGUAGGGGGCAAGCGUUAUCCGGAUUUACUGGGUGUAAAGGGGGCGCAGACGGCGAUGCAAGCCAGGAGUGAAAGCCCGGGGCCCAACCCCGGGACUGCUCUUGGAACUGCGUGGCUGGAGUGCAGGAGGGGCAGGCGGAAUUCCUGGUGUAGCGGUGAAAUGCGUAGAUAUCAGGAGGAACACCGGUGGCGAAGGCGGCCUGCUGGACUGCAACUGACGUUGAGGCCCGAAAGCGUGGGGAGCAAACAGGAUUAGAUACCCCGGUAAG
rnacentral:rRNA from 1 species